rnacentral:rRNA from 1 species
AUUGAACGCUGGCGGCAUGCUUUACACAUGCAAGUCGAACGGUAACAGGCCUUCGGGUGCUGACGAGUGGCGAACGGGUGAGUAAUGCAUCGGAACGUACCCAGAGGUGGGGGAUAACGCAGCGAAAGCUGUGCUAAUACCUCAUGUGAUCUGAGGAUGAAAGCGGGGGACCGAGCAGCAAUGUUUGGCCUCGCGCCUUUGGAGCGGCCGAUGUCGGAUUAGCUAGUUGGUGGGGUAAAGGCCUACCAAGGCGACGAUCCAUAGCAGGUCUGAGAGGACGAUCAGACAGAGUGGGACUGAGACAAGCUCCAGACUCCUACGGGAGGCAGCAGUGGGGAAUUUUGGACAAUGGGCGCAAGCCUGAUCCAGCAAUGCCGCGUGCGGGAAGAAGGCCUUCGGGUUGUAAACCGCUUUUGGCAGGAACGAAACGGUGUCCGCUAAUACCGGGCGCUAAUGACGUUACCUGCAGAAUAAGCACCGGCUAACUACGUG